rnacentral:rRNA from 1 species
AAGUAGCUUGCUACUUUUGCCGGSGAGCGGCGGACGGGUCAGUAMUGCCUGGGAAAUUGCCSAGKCGAGGGGGAUAACAGUUGGAAACGRCUGCUAAUACCGSAUACGCCCUACSGGGGAAAGCAGGGGACCUUCGGSCCUUGCSCGAUUGGMUAUGCCCAGGUGGGAUYAGCUAGUUGGUGAGGUAAUGGCUCACCAAGGCGMCGAUCCCUAGCUGGUCUGAGAGGAUGAUCASCCACACUGGAACUGAGACACGGUCCAGACUCCUACGGGAGGCAGCAGUGGGGAAUAUUGCACAMUGGGGGAAACCCUGA